rnacentral:rRNA from 1 species
UGGAGAAAAGCAGGGGAUCGCAAGACCUUGCGCUUUUGGAGCGGCCGAUGUCUGAUUAACUAGUUGGUGGGGUAAAGGCUUACCAAGGCAACGAUCAGUAGUUGGUCUGAGAGGACGACCAACCACACUGGGACUGAGACACGGCCCAGACUCCUACGGGAGGCAGCAGUGGGGAAUUUUGGACAAUGGGCGCAAGCCUGAUCCAGCCAUGCCGCGUGAGUGAAGAAGGCCUUCGGGUUGUAAAGCUCUUUCAGUUGGGAAGAAACGAUUACAACUAAUAAUUGUAAUUAAUGACGGUACCGACAGAAGAAGCACCGGCUAACUACGUGCCAGCAGCCGCGGUAAUACGUAGGGUGCGAGCGUUAAUCGGAAUUACUGGGCGUAAAGGGUGCGCAGGCGGUUUUGUAAGUCAGAUGUGAAAUCCCCGGGCUUAACCUGGGAAUGGCGUUUGAAACUACAAGGCUAGA